GGAUAACCUGCCCUAUUGUCUGGAAUAACCUCGGGAAACUGAGAACAAGGCCGGAUAACCCACAAUGCCUGGAACGGUUUGUGGGUGAAGAUAGGAUGGGUCUGCGGCGUAUCAGGUCGUAGGGGGUGUAAUGGACCUCCUAGCCAUCGACGCGUACGGGUGUUGGGAGACAUAGCCCGGAGAUGGAUUCUGAGACACGAAUCCAGACCCUACGGGGUGCAGCAGGCGCGAAAACUUCACACUGCAGGAAACUGUGAUGAGGGAACUCCAAGUGCAUCCACUAUGUGGAUGCUUUUUUUGACUAUUAAUCGGUCAACGAAUAAGGGCUGGGAAAGACCGGUGCCAGCCGCCGCGGUAAUACCGGCAGCUCAAGUGGUCGUCGCUUUUAUUGGGCCUAAAACGUCCGUAGCCUGUUUGGUAAAUCUGUGGGUAAAUCAACCAGCUUAACUGGUUGAAUUCUGCAGAGACUGCCAGACUAGGGACCGGGAGAGGUGUGGGGUACUCUAGGGGUAGGGGUAAAAUCCCGUCAUCCUUAGAGGACCACCAGUUGCGAAGGCGCCACACUGGAACGGAUCCGACGGUCAGGGACGAAGCCUAGGGGCACGAACCGGAUUAGAUACCCGGGUAGUCCUAGGUGUAAACGCUGUGAACUUGGUGUCGGGGAUCCGCAAUGGGUCCUCGGUGCCGGAGUGAAGAUGUUAAGUUCACUGCCUGGNGAGUACGGUCGCAAGGCUGAAACUU
rnacentral:rRNA from 1 species